UCCUAAAAUCUCAGUCUAUUUACCAGUAUUGCAGUAUUCCUUCCCUCUCUUUUGUAUAUAUAUUUUUGAACAUGACCAGAUCUUGUUGUUGUCCCCUAUAGCGGUUGAAUAUGGAGGACUUUGUUAAACUAAAGUUAACAGAAUGGAAACUUCUGGAGCUGAUGGACCCUUUUGAAGGUCCAGACCCCCCACCUUUGGCAGAGAAGCUGAUCAGUGUCCCCGAGUUGGUGGUGGUUCAUUACAAACUAUACAUAUAUCAACACUGAAUCAGCGUUCUCAGAGGGCGGGCCCUGGACCAGGACCGAGAGGUCCAAGCUGUGGUUUUUGGAAACACUCGUGUGAUAAGAGAAAUGGACUUGUUAUGGUUAUUCCAGUUUCUCUCUUUAAAUGAAUGAAUGGAAUAUUGUUCAAUAAAAUCAGUGACAUCAA